UGCUGGAGGUAUCAGAAGUGCGAAUGCUGACAUAAGUAACGAUAAAGCGGGUGAAAAGCCCGCUCGCCGGAAGACCAAGGGUUCCUGUCCAACGUUAAUCGGGGCAGGGUGAGUCGACCCCUAAGGCGAGGCCGAAAGGCGUAGUCGAUGGGAAACGGGUUAAUAUUCCCGUACUUGGUGUUACUGCGAAGGGGGGACGGAGAAGGCUAUGUUGGCCGGGCGACGGUUGUCCCGGUUUAAGCGUGUAGGUGUGUGUUCCAGGUAAAUCCGGUUCACUUUAACACUGAGGCGUGACGACGAGGCACUACGGUGCUGAAGCAACAAAUGCCCUGCUUCCAGGAAAAGCCUCUAAGCAUCAGGUAACAUCAAAUCGUACCCCAAACCGACACAGGUGGUCAGGUAGAGAAUACCAAGGCGCUUGAGAGAACUCGGGUGAAGGAACUAGGCAAAAUGGUGCCGUAACUUCGGGAGAAGGCACGCUGACACGUAGGUGAAGUGAUUUACUCACGGAGCUGAAGUCAGUCGAAGAUACCAGCUGGCUGCAACUGUUUAUUAAAAACACAGCACUGUGCAAACACGAAAGUGGACGUAUACGGUGUGACGCCUGCCCGGUGCCGGAAGGUUAAUUGAUGGGGUCAGCGCAAGCGAAGCUCCUGAUCGAAGCCCCGGUAAACGGCGGCCGUAACUAUAACGGUCCUAAGGUAGCGAAAUUCCUUGUCGGGUAAGUUCCGACCUGCACGAAUGGCGUAAUGAUGGCCAGGCUGUCUCCACCCGAGACUCAGUGAAAUUGAACUCGCUGUGAAGAUGCAGUGUACCCGCGGCAAGACGGAAAGACCCCGUGAACCUUUACUAUAGCUUGACACUGAACAUUGAGCCUUGAUGUGUAGGAUAGGUGGGAGGCUUUGAAGUGUGGACGCCAGUCUGCAUGGAGCCGACCUUGAAAUACCACCCUUUAAUGUUUGAUGUUCUAACGUGGACCCGUAAUCCGGGUUGCGGACAGUGUCUGGUGGGUAGUUUGACUGGGGCGGUCUCCUCCUAAAGAGUAACGGAGGAGCACGAAGGUUGGCUAAUCCUGGUCGGACAUCAGGAGGUUAGUGCAAUGGCAUAAGCCAGCUUGACUGCGAGCGUGACGGCGCGAGCAGGUGCGAAAGCAGGUCAUAGUGAUCCGGUGGUUCUGAAUGGAAGGGCCAUCGCUCAACGGAUAAAAGGUACUCCGGGGAUAACAGGCUGAUACCGCCCAAGAGUUCAUAUCGACGGCGGUGUUUGGCACCUCGAUGUCGGCUCAUCACAUCCUGGGGCUGAAGUAGGUCCCAAGGGUAUGGCUGUUCGCCAUUUAAAGUGGUACGCGAGCUGGGUUUAGAACGUCGUGAGACAGUUCGGUCCCUAUCUGCCGUGGGCGCUGGAGAACUGAGGGGGGCUGCUCCUAGUACGAGAGGACCGGAGUGGACGCAUCACUGGUGUUCGGGUUGUCAUGCCAAUGGCACUGCCCGGUAGCUAAAUGCGGAAGAGAUAAGUGCUGAAAGCAUCUAAGCACGAAACUUGCCCCGAGAUGAGUUCUCCCUGAGACUUUAGGUCUCCUGAAGGAACGUUGAAGACGACGACGUUGAUAGGCCGGGUGUGUAAGCGCAGCGAUGCGUUGAGCUAACCGGUACUAAUGAACCGUGAGGCUUAACCUUACAAC
rnacentral:rRNA from 1 species